rnacentral:ncRNA from 2 species
UUGAAAAUGAAUAUUACAGGUGUAGACAUACUCAAUAAGGAAGAAAGUGAAAAUCUUUCGCUGCCCCAGCAGUCGUGAUAUGGACGAAAUCCAAGAUACCAUUGUGCUUAUGCAUGAGAAGGUGGAAAGUAGGAAGAAGUUAAGCCGAAAGACUUGCCUGUAAUGAAUGCAUCUG